GACGAACGCUGGCGGCGUGCUUAACACAUGCAAGUCGAACGGAAAGGCCCUGCUUUUGUGGGGUGCUCGAGUGGCGAACGGGUGAGUAACACGUGAGUAACCUGCCCUUGACUUUGGGAUAACUUCAGGAAACUGGGGCUAAUACCGGAUAGGAGCUCCUGCUGCAUGGUGGGGGUUGGAAAGUUUCGGCGGUUGGGGAUGGACUCGCGGCUUAUCAGCUUGUUGGUGGGGUAGUGGCUUACCAAGGCUUUGGCGGGUAGCCGGCCUGAGAGGGUGACCGGCCACAUUGGGACUGAGAUAGGGCCCAGACUCCUACGGGAGGCAGCAGGGGGGAAUAUUGCACAAUGGGCGGAAGCCUGAUGCAGCAACGCCGCGUGCGGGAUGACGGCCUUCGGGUUGUAAACCGCUUUCGCCUGUGACGAAGCGUGAGUGACGGUAAUGGGUAAAGAAGCACCGGCUAACUACGUG
rnacentral:rRNA from 1 species